GACGAACGCUGGCGGCGUGCUUAACACAUGCAAGUCGAACGGAAAGGCCUGCUUUCCCUUGUGGAUUGCGGGUGCUCGAGUGGCGAACGGGUGAGUAACACGUGAGUGAUCUGCCCCCAACUUGGGUAUAAGCCUGGGAAACUGGGUCUAAUUCCCGAUAGGACUGCAGGGUGGUGCCUGUGGUGGAAAACGAUUUUCUAGUGGUUGGGGAUGAGCUCGCGGCCUAUCAGCUUGUUGGUGGGGUAAUGGCCUACCAAGGCGGCGACGGGUAGCCGGCCUGAGAGGGGGGACGGCCACAUUGGGACUGAGACACGGCCCAGACGCCUGCGGGAGGCAGGAGUGGGGAAUAGUGCACAAUGGGCGGAAGCCUGAGGCAGCGACGCCGCGUGGGGGAUGACGGGCUUCGGGUUGUAAACUCCUUUCGACCGCGAGGAAGCCACCUGGUUGGAAGGGUGGUGACGGUAGUGGUAGAAGAAGCACCGGCUAACUACGUG
rnacentral:rRNA from 1 species